rnacentral:rRNA from 1 species
GAUGAACGCUGGCGGCGUGCCUAAUACAUGCAAGUCGAGCGAACAGAUAAGGAGCUUGCUCCUUUGACGUUAGCGGCGGACGGGUGAGUAACACGUGGGUAACCUACCUAUAAGACUGGGAUAGCUUCGGGAAACCGGAGCUAAUACCGGAUAACAUUUGGAACCGCAUGGUUCUAAAGUGAAAGAUGGUUUUGCUAUCACUUAUAGAUGGACCCGCGCCGUAUUAGCUAGUUGGUAAGGUAACGGCUUACCAAGGCGACGAUACGUAGCCGACCUGAGAGGGUGAUCGGCCACACUGGAACUGAGACACGGUCCAGACUCCUACGGGAGGCAGCAGUAGGGAAUCUUCCGCAAUGGGCGAAAGCCUGACGGAGCAACGCCGCGUGAGUGAUGAAGGGUUUCGGCUCGUAAAACUCUGUUAUUAGGGAAGAACAAAUGUGUAAGUAACUGUGCACGUCUUGACGGUACCUAAUCAGAAAGCCACGGCUAACUACGUG